rnacentral:rRNA from 1 species
GGCUGCGCACGGUUCCGGAGUUUACUUCGAGCCGGUUGUCGGCAGUCAUCCGUCUGCGAACUGUUGCGGCCUUCACUGGUUUGCUUCAGGGAACAGACCCUUUACUUUGAAAAAAUUAGAGUGUUUAAGGCAGGCUCCGCGCCUGAAUACAUUAGCAUGGAAUAAUGGAAUAGGACGCUUGUCCGUUUGAUUGGUUAUCGGACUGGCGUA